rnacentral:rRNA from 1 species
CGUACUGCUCAGUAACACGUGGAUAACCUACCCUCGGGACGGGGAUAAACCCGGGAAACUGGGUACAAUACCCGAUAGAUCUUGAAAGCUGGAAUGCAUCAAGGUCGAAAGCUCCGACGCCCAAGGAUGGGUCUGCGGCCUAUCAGGUAGUAGUGGGUGUAAUGGACCUACUAGCCUACAACGGGUACGGGUUGUGAGAGCAAGAGCCCGGAGAUGGAUUCUGAGACACGAAUCCAGGCCCUACGGGGUGCAGCAGGCGCGAAACCUUUACAAUGCUGGCAACAGCGAUAGGGGGACCUCGAGUGCCUUGAUACAAUCAAGGCUGUCGUUGUGCCUAAAAAGCACGAUAUAGCAAGGGCCGGGCAAGACCGGUGCCAGCCGCCGCGGUAACACCGGCGGCUCGAGUGGUAACCGUUAUUAUUGGGUUUAAAGGGUCUGUAGCCGGCCGGAUAAGUCUCUUGGGAAAUCUGGCAGCUCAACUGUCAGGCUUUCAGGAGAUACUGUUCGGCUCGAGACCGGGAGAGGUGAGAGGUACUUCAGGGGUAGGGGUGAAAUCUUGUAAUCCUUGAAGGACCACCAGUGGCGAAGGCGUCUCACCAGAACGGAUCUGACGGCAAGGGACGAAAGCUAGGGGCACGAACC